AGUACAUUAUGGGAUAUGCUGAAAUAACUUUGGAGAUCCUGAAAUCUCCAAAUUAUAUGCUGAAAUUAACUUUGGUGUCAGUAUUCUGGAACAGAACUUUCGACCCACUUGGGAACGGGCUCAGAUAGGGAGAGGGGAGGCGGUUAGGAAGGGCGGGAAGCUGUUGACUUUGAUUGGCUUCUUUUCUAGAUCAGCAUUCAUCCCCCAGGCAGAAAGGACUCGCCUAGGGAGCCAGCGCGGUCCCAAAGGAGCCGCCGGCCCUGCCUCCCGGGAUCCGACCCCAGAUGUGCCAUUCUCUGCUUGGACGCACACAGAAUAUUCUUGCUCACAGAAUAUCUCAGUUGAAGCCCUGAGCAUGUAAAAGGAAGAUGUUUCUUUCUAAUGAAUUCGCCAUUACAUUUCCAAAGUUAUAAGAUGGCCAACAGACCAUAGAAAGACAAUUAUUUAGUCUCCUGCUUGAAACCAACAGCUUCAGCAAACUGCUGGCCUUGAAUCAGGACCAACCAUUCUUUUUAAUACCUAUGGAAUACUUUUACUAGAACAUUCUGCCUUCAAGCAAAGCAUACUUAUUUCAUGCAGUAGGAACAGAGGGUCACUCCUGCGGGUAUCUUCUUUUGCAUCAUCUCACAUCUACCUACCUACUGGUUGGAUGAUCCCGAGCUAAUUACCUCACUCCUCUAAACUGCAGCUGUCAUGUAAGCAGGUAUUCUUGGGCUCUCUCUCUUCAGCUCUUUCUUGUGGUCCAGCCAGAGUCAUGCCAGGUGUGGAAACUGGAAGUCUAGAAAGCAAAGUUUGCCACUGCUCUGAUGCAGGUCCUCCUCCUGGGUGAGGAAAACAACCACAUCCUUGAACCUAGGACAGCACCUUGGUGUCCAUCUCCUCUUGCUUGUGCCUGGUCUUGGGAUAUUGGUGCUAGGCCUUCAUUUUAUUGUGUGCACCUUUGAGAGUAGAUGAAGAGCUAACCAAACUAUAAAUCCCUGAUUGGGUGUCUCUCUCAAUAAUGAACAGCUUAGGAACCCUUCUACCUUGUUUCUGAGGCCAAGGUUACUCUUCUCAAAGGAGUUUCCAGAGUUAUGUUUCAUUCUUAUAAAAUUAUGCUUCAGAAGCCAUAAUACAUGGGUGCCCACUGUUGAGGAUUUCUUAAGAUAAAGAUCCUGGGCUCUACCCCUUGAGACUAAAUCAGUAGGUCUGGGGUAAGGCCCAGAAUUUACACUUUAAAAAAGUAACACACCAACUUCCAGUUCCAGUCUGGCAUGUAAGAAGCUUGGAAGUUGUCACUCAGCCCAAACAACAAGUAAAAAGCUGAAUAAGCCAGGUGUGGUGACUCUCAUCUGUAGUCCCAGCACUUUGGGAGGUUGAGGUGGUUCCAAUCACUUGAGCCCAGGAGUUCAAGACACACCUGGGAAACAUGGUGAAACCCCAUCUCUGCAAAAAAUACAAAAAUUAGCCUGGUAUGGUGGCACACACCUGUAGUCGCAGCAUCUUGGGAGGCUGAAGUGGAAGGAUCACUUGAGGCCAGGAGUUGGAAGUUACAGUGAGCCACGAUAAUGCUACUGCACUCCAGUCUGGGUGAGAGGGUAAGACUCUGCAACAACUCUUUUUAGAUCUCUAAGAGAGAUUAGAUUACAGGGCAAACUCCUGUCCCCCAAAUUAAAGAGACCAACAGGGGAAUACAGAGAAUCACAACUCUGUGAGCAGGAAACCAUGAGUAGUAACCUCUGCAGCAACCGGUGCCCAUGUAGGAAAACCUUAACUGUAAUUGAUGAAUUGCUGGAGGCUGAGUGUGGACAAGUCAAAAACUCCAGGGGGACCCAGUCAUUAGGAGAUCCCCACAUUUUUGUGUUUUACCUUUAGAAGCUCUACCACACUGCCACAGUGAAUAUUGGAGAAAAAUCUCAUCAUGCUUCUGCCAGGGGAAGGGGAAAAGAACUAUUUAAAAAUACCCCAGAACACUCUGUUCUUCUGAACGUGGUCUGCCCUUAGGAGGAACUACUUAGCCAGAGCCUAACUUUCAGGGGUUUUACCAAUGCCUAACUGACCUAGAAGAAGGGAAACACCCAACUCUAAGUAAACUAGGAAUAGAGGGAAAUUUCCUCGACUUGAUAAAGAAUAUCUGAAAAAAAAAAAAAAAAAAAAACCCAGACACCCUAGUUAACAUCAUACUUAAUGAUGAGAAACUUGAAGCUUUCCCAUAAGAUCAGGAGCAAAGCAAAAUGUUUCCUCUCUCCACUACUUCUGAACAGCAGAUGAAAAAUUCUAGAUAAUAUAGCAAGAAAGAAAAAGAAAAGACACAGAUUGGGAGGGAAAUAAUAAUGUCUUUGUUUGCAUAUGACGUGAUUGUCUAUGAAGAAAAUCUGAAAAAAAUUGGCAGAAAAGUCUCCUGGAACUAAGUAAUUAUGGGAAGGUUGAGGAAUACUAGGUGAAUAUACAAAAGUCAAUUGUUUUCCAGUACACAAGUGUGUUAGUCUGUUUCAUGCUUCUACAACAGAAUACCGAAGACUAGGUAAUUUAUAAAGAACAGAAAUUUAUUUCUUACAGUUCUGGAGGCUGGGAAGUCCAAGGUUGAGGGGCUUACAUCUGGUGAGGUCCUUCCUGUUGUGUCAUCCCAUGGUUGAAGGCAGAAGGGCAAGCAAGACAGCAUGUAUAUAGAAGGAAAAGGAAGGGAAGGUCAGGGGGUAGGGAAGGAGAAGAGAGGGGGAGGGAAAGGGAGAGGGGAAAAGGUGGGGAGGGGAGCCAAACUCAUCCUUUUAUUAGGAACCCUCUCCCACAAUAAGCCUGAAUCCAUUCAUUAGAACAGAACCCCUCGUGACCUAAUCCCCUCUUACAGGUCCCACCUCUCAGCACUGUUGCGUUGGGGAUUAAAUUUCUCUCCAUGAUAUAUUCAAUCCAUGACAACUAGCAAUGAACAAAUGAAAUUCAAAAUUAAAUAAACCAGUACUUCCCCAAAAUAAAAUAGGUAUAAAUCUACCAAAAUAUAUACAAGAUCCGUGUGAGAAACAUUGAAAAACUUUAAUGAAAGAUGUCAAAGAGGCACCAAACAAAUGGAAAAAUACUACAUAUUCAUGGAUGGGAAGAUUCAAUAUUGUCAAGAUGUCAGCUCUUGCCAACUUGAUCUAUAGAUUCAAUGAAAUCAAAAUUAAAAUCCCAGCAAGCCACUUUGUGGAGAUUAACAGGUUGAUUCUAAAGUUCAUCUGCAGAGACAAAAGACCCAGAAGCGCCAGCAAAACACUGAAGAAGAUUAAAGUUGGAGGACUGACACUAUAUGACUUCAAGACUUAAUAUAAAGCUACAGUCAUCUAGACAGUGUGGUAUUGGUAAAAUAAUAGACAAAUAGAUCAGUGGAACAGAAUAGAGAGCUCAGAGAUAAACCCUGCAGAUAGUGUAUGUCAAAGGAGCAAAGGCAAUAUAAUGGAACAAAGAGUCUUCAACAAAUGAUCCCAGAACAACUGGACAUCACAUACAAAAAAAAAAAAAAAGGGGGGUAAGACACAACCCUUACUUUCUUCACAGAAAUUAACUCCAAAUGGA